rnacentral:rRNA from 1 species
UAAUACUCCAUAGAUUAGAGACACUGGAAUGUUCUUUAGUCGAAAGUUCUGGCGCCUUAGGAUGGAUCUGCGGUCGAUUAGGUUGUUGUUGGGGUAACGGCCCAACAAGCCUGUAAUCGAUACGGGUUGUGGGAGCAAGAGCCCGGAGAUGGAAUCUGAGGCACGAUUCCAGGCCCUACGGGGCGCAGCAGGCGCGAAAACUUUACAAUGCAGGAAACUGUGAUAAGGGAACUCCGAGUGCCCGUAUACGCGGGCUGUCCAGGUGUUUAAAAAUCAUCUGAAGAAAGGGCCGGGCAAGACCGGUGCCAGCCGCCGCGGUAAUACCGGCGGCUCGAGUGGUGGCCACUAUUAUUGGGCUUAAAGCGUCCGUAGCUGGACCGAUAAGUCUCUUGGGAAAUCCGCCGGCUCAACCGGCGGGCGUCUAAGGGAUACUGUUAGUCUAGGGACCGGGAGAGGUGAGAGGUACUCCGGGGGUAGGAGUGAAAUCCUGUAAUCCCCGGGGGACCACCGAUGGCGAAGGCAUCUCACCAGAACGGCUCCGACAGUGAGGGACGAAAGCUGGGGGAGCGAACCGGAUUAGAUACCCGGUAGUCCCAGCCGUAACUAUGCGCGUUAGGUGUAC